AGGGUUUGUUGUCCAGCCAUUUGAGCUAAGUUGAUAUACUCCAGGUUCAACAAGAUGCCUUGUCAAUAAAUAAGAGAGUAUGCAAGAAAGACACUUGAUCAACCUCUUCCCUUCAUGUGCACAUUUUCAGAAUAGAUGAUGAGCAGACAUAAAGAGGAAGUCCUCCAUCAGCAACACUCUCUGGACAGCCAAACAUAAUGGGAAAUCAUGGAUAAAGAUGAAAGUCAUUACAGUCUGAGCAGAAGAAGGGCAGUGACCAUGGGGAAUACUGAUCUGUAGUAAUGAGCAUUCAAAGAUCUCUGGGCUUCCUCGGCUCUUGUUCCUGCUCAUCCAAGCAGGGUCAGGUGUCUGAGCUGUCCAGUCUACAGUUCCUGGUCAUCCAAGCAUUGUCAGACAUGGACUCCCUUUCCUGACGUGGGCCUCAAGUGACGUCCCAUAUAUUCUAACGUGAUUUAGACCCACAAUGCUCCUACUUGAGGCUUUCAUGUACUGUGCUUCGCAUCUUCAAUCUCAAACUGUUCAGAAUCACAAAAAGCAAGGUGACUCCAAAGUUCAUGAGAUUGGCUCAUCAGAUUUCCAUUUCCACUUUUAUCAACAGGUCACUUUUACUCGAGGCUUCUUGAGGGCAGUGCAUUUGAGCAAGUUUCUUUACAGAAAAGCAAAAUCAUAAGGGCUAAGAAGAUGAGAACUCAAUGGGCCACAUGAGACACGAUACUAGGCAGAAGAACUGAUUCCGUGAAAUACCUGUCAUAGAUAUGAAAUGUUUGAUAAACUGAAAUCAUAGAGUAGGGAAAAAAAUACCAACUGCUACAGCAAUCAAUCGUGGGCUUGUUUCCAAAUCACACCUAAAGAAAAUGGCAAUCAUUCUCCAGGAUAUUCAGAAUCUUUCUUUAUGUAAGACAGGAAAAGUCACUGGUAUUUGUGAUUUUGCCAUUCUUUCCUAUGAAUGCAAGAUAAGCCAGCUCCUGGACUGUUGCUACCUUGUAUCACUGGCAUGGUCAACGGGAAAUUGACUCUGCCAGGCCCCAUCUUACCAGAUUCUGGACUGCUGCUACCUUGUAUCACUUGCAUGGACAAAGAAAGUGACUCAGCCAGGCCCAGUCUAAGCAGAUGCACUUACACUAAUAGAAGGCAUGGACAAAAUUAACCCCGGAAACAGUAUCAAGACUCUGUUAGUGAUAAUAAGAUCAAAAAUAGCACUGGUAAUUUUGUCUUCUACAGUAACUCCUCUUUGUCACCAGGAAAUGUUCUGUGGAUAAUCAUAGACAGCAGCUAUAUACAGCUUAGGGAGAAAAUACAAGUGUGGAGAUGCCUGUCAUAUAGCGCC